rnacentral:rRNA from 1 species
UACGUAGGGUGCAAGCGUUGUCCGGAAUUAUUGGGCGUAAAGAGCUCGUAGGCGGUUUGUCGCGUCUGCUGUGAAAACCCGAGGCUCAACCUCAGGCCUGCAGUGGGUACGGGCAGACUAGAGUGCGGUAGGGGAGAUUGGAAUCCUGGUGUAGCGGUGGAAUGCGCAGAUAUCAGGAGGAACACCGAUGGCGAAGGCAGAUCUCUGGGCCGUAACUGACGCUGAGGAGCGAAAGCGUGGGGAGCGAACAGG